UCAAAAUACUAACUUUUUGGUUCUAAAAUCAAAAUACAAUAAAAAAACCAAAAAGUUAAAACCUUUUUUUUAUACUUCUUCAUACUGAUCUCCGGUGGUGUGUUGGUUGCGGGCUACUACAUUUGCGAGGGAUCUAUUUAUGUGUUGAUAAUAGACAAGUGUUGUAGUGUUCACUUCUCUUGCCGCACUAUGGCAAAUCCUACCGGGAUCGCUUCAAACACAAGGAGGUACUAAUAAAUUAUGAUUUUACAAUUUUUUAUGUCUAAUUAAUAUAUAUUUGAUGUGUGUGUGCUUAUAUACAUGUUUUAAUUAAAAUUAGCAUGCUGUUGAAAUACAU